GUAAAAAAUCAGUUUUAGGUUCCUAAGACUUAUUUGGGCAUGUUAGUUGGUUCAAUUUGCGCUCUAAUGGGAGUACUGACCAUAGCACUACCUGUACCAGUUAUAGUCUCUAAC
rfam:Thelazia callipaeda genome assembly, scaffold: TCLT_contig0000043